AACCAAGUUGGAGAAGUGUUCAUAUGAAUUUACAGAGAGAAUAAAUUCAAAAACGGCAAGACGUGUCAAAACCUAAAAAGUGAACCCAGAAAAAAAACAGUGUAGUGUAAAGGAACUAAAUAGAGAAUGAAAAUGAAAGAAUAACUUUAUUAAAACGCGAACAUAAAAAGCAGAGUCUAUUUAUUAAUUAUGUAAAAGACUUGAGGUAGACAUCAUAGGGUUUAGACUAUUAAAAAAAAUAAAGGAAAGAAACUAUUUUGUUUUUGGUAUAAAGUCCUUCCACACCAACUCAACUCAAACACAAUAAUAGUAUUUUGUCCACUCAUCACUUACUCCUCUUCAGUCUUCCCCUAAAUUAAGCCCUUUCUCUCAUUUGUAAUACUUUACAAACUCUUCAGUUUUGAUAUCUCUUACUUGGUUCAGAUCAGAACAAAUUAAAUCAUCAUGAAUGAUCCAAAAUAUGCUUAUCCCUACCCUGCUCAAGGUUACUAUCAAGGCCCUCCUGUAAUGGCUCCUCCACAAUAUGCUGCUCCACCACCAAGAAGAGAACCAGGAUUCCUUGAAGGAUGUCUUGCAGCUUUGUGUUGUUGUUGCCUUAUUGACGAGUGCUGCUGUGACCCCUCCAUCUUGUUCAUAUGUUAAUAUUAUAAAUAUAUUAAUAAGAUAUAUAUAUAUAAAUGUGUGUGUGUGUUGUUUAGAGGAUCAUGCAUAUGUAGAACUAUAUAGACAAUAUUUAUAACUUUUGUUGUGGUGUGAUAAUGCUAUUAUAUAUAUGCUCGUGAAGGAUUGUUUCCUUAUCUGCUAGCUAGAUCAUUCUUCUUCUGUAAUCUAUGGUUUUUACAUACCUAGCUACAACAAUUUAAGACCUUUAAGUUUGUGAUCUUCUACUUAUAUAUUUUGUUUCAACUUUAUAUUUUAAGCCUUGUUUGAGAUUAAUCUAGUUUAGAAAAA